AGGAUCAUUAUUGAAAUAAACCUGAUGGGUUGUUGCUGGUUCUCUAGGGAGCAUGUGCACGCCUUGUCAUCUUUAUAUCUCCACCUGUGCACCUUUUGUAGACCUUCUCAGGUCUAUGUUGCUUUUUCAUUUACCCCAAUGUAUGUUAAUAGAAUGUUUGUGGCUAUAAAAUAUAUACAACUUUCAGCAACGGAUCUCUUGGCUCUCGCAUCGAUGAAGAAUGCAGCGAAAUGCGAUAAGUAAUGUGAAUUGCAGAAUUCAGUGAAUCAUCGAAUCUUUGAACGCACCUUGCGCUCCUUGGUAUUCCGAGGAGCAUGCCUGUUUGAGUGUCAUUAAUAUAUAUCAACCUUCUCAUUGAUGAGAGUGGUUUGGAUGUGGGGGUUUGCUGGCCUCUUAAAUGGGGUUCAGCUCUCCUGAAAUGCAUUAGCAGAACAACCUUGUUCAUUGGUGUGAUAAACUAAUCUACGCUAUUGAAUGGUGAGGGACAGUUCAGCUUUCUAACAGUCCUUGGACAACUUAUCAUUUAUGUGACCUCAAAUCAGGUAGGACUACCCGCUGAACUUAAGCAUAUCAAUAAGCGGAGGAAAAGAAACUAACAAGGAUUCCCCUAGUAACUGCGAGUGAAGCGGGAAAAGCUCAAAUUUAAAAUCUGGCGGUCUUUUGGCUGUCCGAGUUGUAAUCUAGAGAAGUGUUAUCCGCGCUGGACCGUGUACAAGUCUUCUGGAAUGGAGCAUCAUA
rnacentral:rRNA from 1 species